AUACGGAGGAUGCGAGCGUUAUCCGGAUUUAUUGGGUUUAAAGGGAGCGUAGGUGGGAUAUUAAGUCAGCUGUGAAAGUUUGGGGCUCAACCUUAAAAUUGCAGUUGAUACUGGUUUCCUUGAGUACGGUACAGGUGGGCGGAAUUCGUGGUGUAGCGGUGAAAUGCUUAGAUAUCACGAAGAACUCCGAUCGCGAAGGCAGCUCACCGGGCCGGAACUGACACUGAUGCUCGAAAGUGCGGGUAUCAAGCAGGAUUAGAUACCCUGGUAGUCCGCACAGUAAACGAUGAAUACUCGCUGUUUGCGAUACACUGUAAGCGGCCAAGCGAAAGCGUUAAGUAUUCCACCUGGGGAGUACGCCGGCAACGGUGAAACUCAAAUGAAUUGACGGGG
rnacentral:rRNA from 1 species